GACGAACGCUGGCGGCGUGCCUAAUACAUGCAAGUCGAACGCAUUUUCUUUCACCGUAGCUUGCUACACCGAAAGAAAAUGAGUGGCGAACGGGUGAGUAACACGUGGGUAACCUGCCCAUCAGCGGGGGAUAACACUUGGAAACAGGUGCUAAUACCGCAUAAUUCCAUUUACCGCAUGGUAGAUGGGUGAAAGGCGCUUUUGCGUCACUGAUGGAUGGACCCGCGGUGCAUUAGCUAGUUGGUGGGGUAACGGCCUACCAAGGCUGCGAUGCAUAGCCGACCUGAGAGGGUGAUCGGCCACACUGGGACUGAGACACGGCCCAGACUCCUACGGGAGGCAGCAGUAGGGAAUCUUCGGCAAUGGACGCAAGUCUGACCGCGCAACGCCGCGUGAGUGAAGAAGGUUUUCGGAUCGUAAAACUCUGUUGUUAGAGAAGAACAAGGAUGAGAGUGGAAAGUUCAUCCCUUGACGGUAUCUAACCAGAAAGCCACGGCUAACUACGUG
rnacentral:rRNA from 1 species